CAGCAGGGUCAUUAUGUAACUCGGUGAACGCUUUAAAAUCACAGUCACGACAACAAAUGACAGCGAUUUUUCGUUUUUGCGAUCAUGUAACACACAUCUCCCACCGAAAUGACGUCAUCUUGGAUCGUUCUCUGUCACGGUCACUUGUAGGGAUUUAUCCAAGUUAUAACGCAGUUUUUACGUAUCGAUAGUCAGUUUAAGCGAUUAUGUAAGCAUAAUGAUCAUACAACUGGGUGACACAGAAGUUGUCAAAGUCAAUCGCUAUAGAAACUAAUACCGAGCAGUGUUUUAAUAAAGUUUACUUGACGCCUGUGAUUCAAUAAUUACAAAUAAAAGUACUUUUAGGAUUUUUUUGAAUUUUGUACUAUACCUUGUAAGUAAGGUAUUAGUUUGUAAGUCAAUAAAAUCAGAAUUAGAAAAGUUUUUCAUGUAAAAUAUGACGAAAGUUGAGAAUAUAUAGUAGGUACCUACCUACAUACUUAUUUCAAAAGCAGAAUUACAGUUUUAGAGUUAGUUGAAGUGAAUUUAAUUAAUUGUGUUAUUUUUGUAGUGUUUACCGACAUUGCCAUGUACAAUACAAUGCAUGUAGCAUUUGUAUUGUACGCGGAAACGGAACGAAAAAGAUGUCUUUGUCGAGUUCAUUGCAAAACUUUCGUGUCGCGAUACCAGCAGGUUUUAGAAGAAAUACAAAGUCUUCGAACAACUGCUGUUCGCAAUGAAUUAGAGAUAAGUCUAGGCAGCUUUAAACUUUUAUGCCAAUGGAUCAUACAAAUGGCUUUGUGAUGGCUAAGGCAUCUUUUAGCAAAUGCCUACAUGAAGUCGCUGACGCUCCUGAAUACCCCAGCUGUUUAAAAAAAAUGUGUUAAGUUCCCUUUGCAUUAAACACAAAAUCAUUAUAAAUAAAUAUGUGAUGCCAAUCUAAUAAUAACAUAGUGGAUGCUCAAUUUGGUGGUGCAUCUUAUGACUUGUACAUAUGGAACCAGUGCAAUAAGACCACUUGAGGAAAACCUGCCCAAUAGGGACCGCUGUUGGUUGUUAGGUGACCAAUGUUUGCAUGAUGACCCCCAUCUUGGGAGCUGCUCCUAGAUCCCAUGAAGAUAUGCACAACAUUGCUGUGUCAGAAAUACGGUGGAGCCUUGUAGUUGGGUGCAUAUUGUAAAAUGUUUCCUCACUCCAAAACCAUGAACUCUGGUUUCCUAAACCCUCAAGCUAUGCAGCCGAAGGAGGAGACUUAUCACAGGAGAAUCACUAAUAAUUUUGAAGAAGUGAAGAGCUUAACAAUGUUUCAACCAACACCUAAAGAAGCUUUCACUUGGCUGUUAGAUCAAGGGCUGGAUACAGAAAACAGUAAUCCUUGUGAUGGCAGCAUUGUCCAAGGAU